GAUGAACGCUGGCGGCGUGCCUAAUACAUGCAAGUCGAGCGAACAGACGAGGAGCUUGCUCCUCUGACGUUAGCGGCGGACGGGUGAGUAACACGUGGAUAACCUACCUAUAAGACUGGGAUAACUUCGGGAAACCGGAGCUAAUACCGGAUAACAUUUUGAACCGCAUGGUUCAACAGUGAAAGACGGUUUUGCUGUCACUUAUAGAUGGAUCCGCGUCGCAUUAGCUAGUUGGUAAGGUAACGGCUUACCAAGGCAACGAUGCGUAGCCGACCUGAGAGGGUGAUCGGCCACACUGGAACUGAGACACGGUCCAGACUCCUACGGGAGGCAGCAGUAGGGAAUCUUCCGCAAUGGGCGAAAGCCUGACGGAGCAACGCCGCGUGAGUGAAGAAGGUCUUCGGAUCGUAAAACUCUGUUAUUAGGGAAGAACAAAUGUGUAAGUAACUAUGCACGUCUUGACGGUACCUAAUCAGAAAGCCACGGCUAACUACGUG
rnacentral:rRNA from 1 species